UGUGUGUGUGUGUGUGUGUGUGUGUGUGUGUGUGUGUGUCCACCACAAUGUCAGCCAAGAUCCUAACAGAGCUUUUAUUCUGAGACUUGGUCUGCUGCCAUGUCUCAGACAUGCAAGUCUUACUGAGAGGAUGGAUUGGAGUGGUGAGGGAGAAACACAGGCAGGCCAGGAACAAGAUGACAAUUUCAUUAGUUCCAUUUUCUGAUUUUCCCUGAAAUGCACAUCAAGGAUAUUACUACACCUCCGACAUCUUUGGGAACAACAUCUGCGACAUCUCUGAAUAACACAGAAGUAGCACUUCAAACCACGUCAGAUAUUACUACACCUCCGACAUCUUUGGGAACAACAUCUGCGACAUCUCUGAAUAACACAGAAGUAGCACUUCAAACCACGUCAGAUAUUACUACACCUCCGACAUCUUUGGGAACAAGUUUGUCACCACUGACAACAAUGAAAUUAGCACUUCAAACCACGUCAGGG